rnacentral:rRNA from 1 species
AUGACCACAAAGAAAGUUGCUCAUUACUUCUUUGACCAUACCAUUACAGUCGUCAGCGGCGCCCCAUUGUCAGAGAUUCUGCACAAUAGAGAUGCAACUGGUCGAGUGGUGAAAAGGGCGAUUGAACUCCUUCCCCUAGAUAUCAGAUUUGAGGCAAAGAAAGCUAUCAAGUCACAAGCAAUAGCAGAUUUCCUCGCCGAGUGGACCGAACAGCAACUGUCGACUCAAGUACACUCGGAGCACUGGACCAUGUUCUUUGAUGGCUCUAAGAUGCUGAACGGUUCUGGUGCUGGGGUAGUGUUGGUUUCCCCCCGAGGAGACAAGCUCAGAUAUGUACUCCAGAUUCACUUUGAUUCCUCCAACAACGAAGCAGAAUAUGAAGCACUUUUGUAUGGGUUGCAUAUGGCCAUUUCACUCGGCAUUCGUCGCCUCAUGGUCUACGGUGACUCGGAUUUGGUGGUAAACCAAGUGAUGAAGGAGUGGGAUGUCAGAAGCCCAGCCAUGACUGGUUACUGUAAUGAGUAA